rnacentral:rRNA from 1 species
ACACGACUACAUUAGAUACCCGGGUAGUCCUAGCCGUAAACGAUACUCGCUAGGUGUCGGCCACGGUGCGACCGUUGUCGGUGCCGUAGGGAAGCCGUGAAGCGAGCCACCUGGGAAGUACGGCCGCAAGGCUGAAACUUAAAGGAAUUGGCAGGGGAGCACAACAACGGGUGGAGCUUAGCGGUUUAAUUGGAUUCAACGCCGGAAAUCUUACCGGGACCGACAGCAACAUGAAGGCCAAGCUGAAGACUUUGCCGGAUUAGCUG